UACGGGGGGGGUAAGCGUUGUUCGGAAUUACUGGGCGUAAAGGGCUCGUAGGCGGCCAACUAAGUCAUACGUGAAAUCCCUCAGCUUAACUGGGGAACUGCGUGUGAUACUGGAUGGCUUGGAUUUGGGAGAGGGAUGCGGAAUUCCAGGUGUAGCGGUGAAAUGCGUAGAUAUCUGGAGGAACACCGGUGGCGAAGGCGGCAUCCUGGACCAACACUGACGCUGAGGAGCGAAAGCCAGGGGAGCAAACGGG
rnacentral:rRNA from 1 species